rnacentral:rRNA from 1 species
UCAUCUGUUUCUUAAAUAUUUAUUGAAUUUGACUUUUAAGUGAAAAGGCUUAAAUAAAUCAAAAAGACGAUAAGACCCUAUAAAUCUUAACAAUAAAUAUAUUUUAUAUUUUAGUUUAUAAGUGUAUAAGGAAUAAAAAUAUAGGUUUGUUACGCUGGGGCGGCGUAGAUAUAUAAAUAAACUGUCUAUAGUUUAAAUACAAUAAUCAUUGCUUAAUACAAAUUGAUCCUUAAAUAGAUUAAAAGAUUAAGAUACUUUAGGGAUAACAGCGUUAUUUUUUUUGAGAGUUCUUAUCGAAGAAAAAGUUUGCGACCUCGAUGUUGAAUUAAAGUAUCUCUAUGGUGC